CAAGGUCCCUGACCCAAUGGGGCUUCAGUGGUUGGAGUGGUCCUGGAAUGAAGGCUGUUCUGGUGAGAUGUUUUGAGUCAUCAGCUCAUGGAGUGUCUGUGGGUGGAAGCAAGAGUUUCCAGAGGCCAAGGCCUCCGGGGAUCUAUUCCACUGAUCCUCAGCCAGCCUGUGUGCUCCGUGAGCCCCGAGCCAGCCAGGACACCAUACCCCGCCCCCCGCAGCGGGCUGCAGACCCCCCAGCUCAACUCCACAGAAGCAGGGGGCCCUUUCUGCACAUCCCGGCAUCCGUAAAGCUGCCAGAAACAUCAGAUGGGGUUUAUGGCAUCCUUUUAGCAUGACUGUCUCUUGUGCAAGGCCAAGAAAAACAACACGAAGGGGGAAGAGCGACGAAGAAGGAUGACGUAUCCGCACGCACUCCGCAGUCACUGUCACUGUGUCUUGAGAGUGAAGCUUAGAAAAGCACAGCAUCUUACACAAACAAUUUCUUCUGCAUUGAUAUGGAGCAGGGAGAACGAGACCUGUUCACAAGGCAGAAGUCAGCCCUUUGCAAGAGGAUCCCGUUCUCCCACCCCUUGUCUCAUAGUUUCCUCACCGUGGCUGGGUCUUCUUAAAGCCACUGCCAGGCCUAGGCCUCUGGAGAGAGAGAAGCUCCAGGUCCCUUUAGCCUGACACACUUGGGUGCUGUGUUGACAAGACUGAAGCGCCCACGGUGUUGGAUGCCACAGCACAAACGAUGGAUUCCUUUUAAAGGAACGAAAGUGUAUUUGUGAGCAAUUCCACUUCUGGGUGGGCUGAGAAGCAAGUUGAAGAGUCCAAUUUAACGCACGUAAUAGAUGGAGAUGCUUCUCCAGCAACAACAACAAAAACAACCAGAAACACAGCUCUAGCUGCUGGAGAAAGGUUUGUCAUUUGUCAUCACGCUCCUCAUCCAUCACAGUUGCAGUAAGAGUGGUUAGAGGGAAAAGGUGGAAUCAGUUGUUCACAUUUUUCUUUCUUCCAGGCCAGGCCCUGUGUUGAAGGAAGGAGGAAGAGGAGUGGACUGUGCAUGGAGGAAAAUUCAAUAACGACUGGAAUUCUGGAUGUAGACCCCCUCACCCCCCAGCCUGAGACCACAGCACAGUUUAACCCGGUGAUGGGCACAGAGGGCAGAGACUGCACCAGCACUGCAGACCAGAAUCUUGCUCAGUGUGCCGGUUUGAGAUCCCUUGCUGAGGCCCCACGAGAGUCCCUACUUUGAAGGCAGAAAGGAUGGAAGCAGAACAGGGAGAGAUUUUACAUGGCUUUGUAACGGAACAGCAAGCUUGUGCUAGCCUGUAGACGUGGCCUGCUAGCUGGGGACCGACACAACUGGUGAAAGACAUCGGCCUCACUUCCGGCACCCAAGAGUUAAGCAUUUCUUACUCUUUCUGGGCCUGGCCAUCUCUACUUUGCCUUUUCUUCCCACCUCCCCCUUUUUCCUUAGCAGGAAGGGAAAGGAAGGUACCUUGGAACAGCUGGCAGUCAGCACUGUCCCCAGAAGACUCUAUUAUCGAGGUGGAGGGACUAGAGAGUGGAUUGGUGCCAUUUUGUUAUGGGUUGCGUUCAUUCUUCGAAACCUACGGGCAUGACUGUCAGAUUCAUUGAAGGGAUGGACCUCCCAGAAGCCAAGAGGUAGGAGAUCUUGUGGCCUGGGAAUCAGGAGGCCUGCACCCUGGGAGCCACUCACCAUGGGGUGGGAUUCAGCCCACCCAGCUUCCAAAACAGAGAACAUCAUUCUAGCUUCUGCAUCAUGUUUCCACUGGAAAACCAUUUCUGUUGAAUGGACAUUGACUAAUGCAUGCUUUUCUUCUUACUGACACCAAAGAGAAAGGUCAUGCCUCUUAUCAUUAGGACAUUCUUGUAGGGGCACCAGAGUAAUCUCAACCACUUUGAGUAACAGGAUUAAGUCUGUUGGGGCAUCAGAAGGGGAGUUUGUCAUUACUGUUUCCCCUGAGAUCAGGGUUGAUUAUCACACUGGCCACCAUAUUUGCCUUUUCCUGACCUGUUUUGUCAGGUGAGUCGGCAACUUUACCCAUAGCCAUCCACCCGCCUGGGGAAGACACAUCUGUAAAAAAUUAGACCAGUUGGUGUUUCGGCACCUGCUAGGUGGACGUAGCAGUACAUUUAGGAAGUUCCUCAUUAUGACUAGUCUUCGUUUCUCUUGUCGUAAUCUAAAUAUACUUCCUUGAUUCUUCUUUUCAAGUUUGACGGAGAAAUAAUUGACAUACAACACUGUAUAAGCUUAAGGGGGCCAGCAUGAUGUUUUGAUUUACAUAGACUGUGAAAUGAUUACCCGCAAUGGGUUCAGCUAACGUCCAUCUUCUCAUGUAGAUAUGAUGAAAAGAAAACAAAGAAAAAGGAAAAAACUUUUCUCCUUGUGAUGAGAACUCGUAGGAUUAACUCUCUUAACAACUUUCCUGUCUAUCAGACAGCAGUGUUCACUGUAUGUUGUACAUGUAACAUCAUGUUGUAUGUUUCAUCGCUCGUACUUAUUUAUCUUAUAACUGGAAGUUUGUACCUUCUGACCACGUUCCUCCUAUUGCUGUGAUUCUUGCAACAAGCCGGUGAGCUGAGGCUGGUUGGACAGCCCAAAACUCUGAAUUAAUUCUCUUGGGUGAAACGCUGGGUGUGGCUGUUUUUCCGCUGGAGGUGACAAAAAAGAGGUGGGGGAUCUAUUUAGGUUUCAUUUGAGGCAGAGAUCUGGCCUUGCUGGGUUUCCUUGUUUGUUUAUAAACUGCUUAAAUGAGGUUUUUUCCUCCUCUCUCCGUUUCUCUCCUUCUCUUAUCCUAACAGUCUCAUAGGUAAACUUAGAAGGAAGACAAAUACUUCUCAAACUGUCACCGAGGGUGCCGUAAAAGAGACAUUUGGACAGUGGUGCUGGGAGAUCCUUGUCUUUGCUCCAUGUUAAUACAAAGGGAUUGGGGUAGCCCAGAUCACCAGGGGAGGGCGGUUUUUCUUCAUUUAGCUUUUAAUUGCUUUCUUUCACUUUUAUGUAUAAAAGAUUGUCCAUUUAAUUAACUCAAGAAUGCAAUUUCAAAAACACUAAUGCUUUACACAUGAUGGCUUUUAAAAUAAAAGUAGCAUUCUAAUAU